UCCUCGUUUUGUGUAGCAGGAAAGUCAUAGCUUGGUGAACUCAGUUGUACUGUCAAGUACAGCAAUGGCCACUUUAAUCUUACAAAGGACAUGAACAGAGUGUGGAGGAGCAUUCAGCUACGGGAUGCAGAUUAAAGCAAAGUGACAGCGGCGCUAUCAGCCGAUAAGGGGACCAGUAACUCCAGCAGCCGCCGAAUGUCACGCUCCGAGAGACAACGCACACUUUACAGACGCACAACAGUCACAACUGGGGACUGAUGAGAGAAGAACGGAGGAUGCGUGAGACCAUCGAGCAGCCGCGCCCUCACCCCAUCUGGGAUCACACAGCCGCAGCACAUGCCUUCUGAUUGAUUUAUUCAAGAUUAAUUGUUGCUUUGUCGGCUCAUUGCUUCCAACCGGUUCGCGUCAGAUGUCUGUGCUUUGCACUACAUUUGAACGCGGUGCAAACAAAGGGUCCUCCGCUCGUCUCGUCGCCACGAUGCAGCUACAGGUCGGCGCCAUGAAUUAGGCCACCAAUAAAGACAGACGAGUCUGGCCUCCAAGGCGAU
ensembl:lncRNA